GGGUUGUGAGGUUAAGCGACUAAGCGUACACGGUGGAUGCCCUGGCAGUCAGAGGCGAUGAAGGACGUGCUAAUCUGCGAAAAGCGUCGGUAAGGUGAUAUGAACCGUUACAGCCGGCGAUGUCCGAAUGGGGAAACCCAGUGCAAUUCGUUGCACUAUCGUUAACUGAAUACAUAGGUUAACGAGGCGAACCGGGGGAACUGAAACAUCUAAGUACCCCGAGGAAAAGAAAUCAACCGAGAUUCCCCCAGUAGCGGCGAGCGAACGGGGAGCAGCCCAGAGUCUGAAUCAGCUUGUGUGUUAGUGGAACGGUCUGGAAAGUCCGACGGUACAGGGUGAUAGUCCCGUACACCAAAAUGCACAGGUUGUGAACUCGAAGAGUAGGGCGGGACACGUGGUAUCCUGUCUGAAUAUGGGGGGACCAUCCUCCAAGGCUAAAUACUCCUGACUGACCGAUAGUGAACCAGUACCGUGAGGGAAAGGCGAAAAGAACCCCGGCGAGGGGAGUGAAAAAGAACCUGAAACCGUGUACGUACAAGCAGUGGGAGCACCUUCGGGUGUGACUGCGUACCUUUUGUAUAAUGGGUCAGCGACUUAUAUUCUGUAGCAAGGUUAACCGUAUAGGGGAGCCGCAGGGAAACCGAGUCUUAACUGGGCGUUAAGUUGCAGGGUAUAGACCCGAAACCCGGUGAUCUAGCCAUGGGCAGGUUGAAGGUUGGGUAACACUAACUGGAGGACCGAACCGACUAAUGUUGAAAAAUUAGCGGAUGACUUGUGGCUGGGGGUGAAAGGCCAAUCAAACCGGGAGAUAGCUGGUUCUCCCCGAAAGCUAUUUAGGUAGCGCCUCGUGAACUCAUCUUCGGGGGUAGAGCACUGUUUCGGCUAGGGGGUCAUCCCGACUUACCAACCCGAUGCAAACUACGAAUACCGAAGAAUGUUAUCACGGGAGACACACGGCGGGUGCUAACGUCCGUCGUGAAGAGGGAAACAACCCAGACCGCCAGCUAAGGUCCCAAAGUCAUGGUUAAGUGGGAAACGAUGUGGGAAGGCACAGACAGCCAGGAUGUUGGCUUAGAAGCAGCCAUCAUUUAAAGAAAGCGUAAUAGCUCACUGGUCGAGUCGGCCUGCGCGGAAGAUGUAACGGGGCUAAACCAUGCACCGAAGCUGCGGCAGCGACACUAUGUGUUGUUGGGUAGGGGAGCGUUCUGUAAGCCUGCGAAGGUGUGCUGUGAGGCAUGCUGGAGGUAUCAGAAGUGCGAAUGCUGACAUAAGUAACGAUAAAGCGGGUGAAAAGCCCGCUCGCCGGAAGACCAAGGGUUCCUGUCCAACGUUAAUCGGGGCAGGGUGAGUCGACCCCUAAGGCGAGGCCGAAAGGCGUAGUCGAUGGGAAACAGGUUAAUAUUCCUGUACUUGGUGUUACUGCGAAGGGGGGACGGAGAAGGCUAUGUUAGCCGGGCGACGGUUGUCCCGGUUUAAGCAUGUAGGCUGGUUAUCCAGGCAAAUCCGGAUAAUCAAGGCUGAGGUGUGAUGACGAGGCACUACGGUGCUGAAGUAACAAAUGCCCUGCUUCCAGGAAAAGCCUCUAAGCAUCAGGUAACAUCAAAUCGUACCCCAAACCGACACAGGUGGUCAGGUAGAGAAUACCAAGGCGCUUGAGAGAACUCGGGUGAAGGAACUAGGCAAAAUGGUGCCGUAACUUCGGGAGAAGGCACGCUGGUGUGUAGGUGAAGUCCCUGCGGAUGGAGCUGAGACCAGUCGAAGAUACCAGCUGGCUGCAACUGUUUAUUAAAAACACAGCACUGUGCAAACACGAAAGUGGACGUAUACGGUGUGACGCCUGCCCGGUGCCGGAAGGUUAAUUGAUGGGGUUAUCCGUAAGGAGAAGCUCUUGAUCGAAGCCCCGGUAAACGGCGGCCGUAACUAUAACGGUCCUAAGGUAGCGAAAUUCCUUGUCGGGUAAGUUCCGACCUGCACGAAUGGCGUAAUGAUGGCCAGGCUGUCUCCACCCGAGACUCAGUGAAAUUGAACUCGCUGUGAAGAUGCAGUGUACCCGCGGCAAGACGGAAAGACCCCGUGAACCUUUACUAUAGCUUGACACUGAACAUUGAGCCUUGAUGUGUAGGAUAGGUGGGAGGCUUUGAAGCGUGGACGCCAGUCUGCGUGGAGCCAACCUUGAAAUACCACCCUUUAAUGUUUGAUGUUCUAACGUUGGCCCCUGACCGGGGUUGCGGACAGUGUCUGGUGGGUAGUUUGACUGGGGCGGUCUCCUCCCAAAGCGUAACGGAGGAGCACGAAGGUUAGCUAAUCCUGGUCGGACAUCAGGAGGUUAGUGCAAUGGCAUAAGCUAGCUUGACUGCGAGCGUGACGGCGCGAGCAGGUGCGAAAGCAGGUCAUAGUGAUCCGGUGGUUCUGAAUGGAAGGGCCAUCGCUCAACGGAUAAAAGGUACUCCGGGGAUAACAGGCUGAUACCGCCCAAGAGUUCAUAUCGACGGCGGUGUUUGGCACCUCGAUGUCGGCUCAUCACAUCCUGGGGCUGAAGUAGGUCCCAAGGGUAUGGCUGUUCGCCAUUUAAAGUGGUACGCGAGCUGGGUUUAGAACGUCGUGAGACAGUUCGGUCCCUAUCUGCCGUGGGCGCUGGAGAAUUGAGGGGGGCUGCUCCUAGUACGAGAGGACCGGAGUGGACGCAUCACUGGUGUUCGGGUUGUCAUGCCAAUGGCACUGCCCGGUAGCUAAAUGCGGAAGAGAUAAGUGCUGAAAGCAUCUAAGCACGAAACUUGCCCCGAGAUGAGUUCUCCCUGAGACUUUAAGUCUCCUGAAGGAACGUUAAAGACGAUGACGUUGAUAGGCCGGGUGUGUAAGCGCAGCGAUGCGUUGAGCUAACCGGUACUAAUGAACCGUGAGGCUUAACCUUACAACGCCGAAG
rnacentral:rRNA from 2 species